rnacentral:tRNA from 1 species
GUCCCCUUCGUCUAGUGGCUUCAGGACACCGCCCUUUCACGGCGGUAACAGGGGUUCGAGUCCCCUAGGGGACGCCA